GCCUGGGUGGCUCAGUCGGUUGAGCGUCCGACUUCAGCUCCGGUCAUGAUCUCACGGUCCGUGAGUUCGAGCCCCGUGUCAGGCU
rnacentral:tRNA from 1 species